UUAAAACUUUCAACAACGGAUCUCUUGGUUCUGGCAUCGAUGAAGAACGCAGCGAAAUGCGAUAAGUAAUGUGAAUUGCAGAAUUCAGUGAAUCAUCGAAUCUUUGAACGCACAUUGCGCCCUCUGGUAUUCCAGAGGGCAUGCCUGUUCGAGCGUCAUU
rnacentral:rRNA from 13 species